GGUUGUAAACCGCUUUCAGCAGGGACGAAGCUAACGUGACGGUACCUGCAGAAGAAGCACCGGCUAACUACGUGCCAGCAGCCGCGGUGAUACGUAGGGUGCGAGCGUUGUCCGGAAUUAUUGGGCGUAAAGAGCUUGUAGGCGGUUUGUCACGUCGGAAGUGAAAACUCAGGGCUUAACCCUGAGCCUGCUUUCGAUACGGGCUGACUAGAGGAAGGUAGGGGAGAAUGGAAUUCCCGGUGGAGCGGUGGAAUGCGCAGAUAUCGGGAGGAACACCGGUGGCGAAGGCGGUUCUCUGGACCUUUCCUGACGCUGAGAAGCGAAAGCGUGGGGAGCAAACAGGCUUAGAUACCCUGGUAGUCCACGCUGUAAACGGUGGGCACUAGGUGUGGGACCCUUCCACGGGUUCCGUGCCGCAGCUAACGCAUUAAGUGCCCCGCCUGGGGAGUACGGCCGCAAGGCUAAAACUCAAAGGAAUUGACGGGGAAGCGGCGGAGCAUGCGGAUUAAUUCGAUGCAACGCGAAGAACCUUACCUGGGUUUGACAUAUACCGGAAACACCUAGAGAUAGGUGCCCCGCAAGGUCGGUAUACAGGUGGUGCAUGGCUGUCGUCAGCUCGUGUCGUGAGAUGUUGGGUUAAGUCCCGCAACGAGCGCAACCCUCGUCCUAUGUUGCCAGCGGUUCGGCCUCAUAGGAGACUGCCGGGGUCAACUCGGAGGAAGGUGGGGAUGACGUCAAGUCAUCAUGCCCCUUAUGUCCAGGGCUUCACGCAUGCUACAAUGGCUGGUACAAAGGGCUGCAAUAUCGCAAGAUGGAGCGAAUCCCAUAAAGCCAGUCUCAGUUCGGAUUGGGGUCUGCAACUCGACCCCAUGAAGUCGGAGUCGCUAGUAAUCGCAGAUCAGCAACGCUGCGGUGAAUACGUUCCCGGGCCUUGUACACACCGCCCGUCAAGUCAUGAAAGUCGGUAACACCCGAAGCCGGUGGCCUAACCCUCGUGGAGGGAGCCGUCGAAGGUGGGACCGGUAAUUAGGACUAAGUCGUAACAAGGUAGCCGUACCGGAAGGUGCGGCUGG
rnacentral:rRNA from 1 species